CAGUCGCCGCGGUAAUACGUAGGGUGCGAGCGUUAAUCGGAAUUACUGGGCGUAAAGCGCGCGUAGGUGGUUUGUUAAGUUGGAUGUGAAAUCCCCGGGCUCAACCUGGGAACUGCAUCCAAAACUGGCAGGCUAGAGUAGGGCAGAGGGUGGUGGAAUUUCCUGUGUAGCGGUGAAAUGCGUAGAUAUAGGAAGGAACACCAGUGGCGAAGGCGACUACCUGGACUGAUACUGACACUGAGGUGCGAAAGCGUGGGGAGCAAACAGGAUUAGAUACCCGCGUAGUCCCUGUCUCUUAUAC
rnacentral:rRNA from 1 species